AGCCUACUGGCUGCGGCAGAAGGCUAGCGCCUUCCCCCAACGGCGAAACAGGCUAAGGUUCCCUAGCGCCGGGGAGGUCUCAAGUUCCCGGGACCGGCAACAUGUCCUGACACCGCGUGCCAGCCCCGCCAUUCGCUCCGCUCGCCCUCCCUGCAGCCUACGGGUUAUGCUUCUGAGCCCUCCCGGCGCCUGCUCCGAGCCCGCUCCUGGGAGGGCGGAGCGGAGGCGACAGGGUUCAGCUCCGCGCCCUCCGCCCGCAUGGCUCUGCCAGUUUCGGCACGGCCAGCACUGCGGGCUCCCUUCUCCUCCGGCCGCGGACGAGGCAGCUUCCGCGGACUCGGCCGGCCGUGGAUGAAGGCGGAUGAAGGGAAGCAAACCGAGAGUUUAGCUACUCACCGCCAUGGUGGAGAACAGGAAGAGAAAAUAGGACUUCCGGCCCAGGGCCUUAUGGGUCAGGAGGCGGGCUCUUUUCCCAGGCUAACCCGAGAGCUCAGGAGGAGCAGGAAGAGCGAGAGGGGUGCGGCGCGGCGUCCGGCUGGUCCUGGUGGGCACUCUCAGCAGAUGCAGGCUCCAGACCCGGUGGCUCUUGCGUGAUGGGACUUUCAGAACUGCAUGAAAUCCAUUAUGUGAACUAUGAAGUAAAUCAUUUAUUCGGCAACAGAAGGAAGGCGAGGGGUAGAAUUAGACUGAGCACCCCAUCUGCUUCCUCUUUGCAACAUCAAGCCUUGAUUACCCCAACAGCCACCGUCUGUCUCAUGUCACGCACAGCAAAGCGACCUAGGACACAGGACAUGAAGAAACAAAUGGGGAAUGCUACCAGGGCACGAGCUAGGCCACUUGCAGGAGGUCAAAUGGGGAAACAAAGGAGCAGAGAAAACAUACAGCAGAGUUAAGCAAGCAUCAGGAGUGAGAAUGAAGGGAGAUGUCAAUGGUGAUGCCACGUUCCCGCUCUGCCUUCAGCUUGUCCAGUACCCAGGCAUACUUGAAGGAGCCUUUGCCCACCUGGGCCAAGAAUAGGAGGGAAGACCCCAGGGUCACCUCUAUGUCCAAAGCUGCCCAUGAGCCAAGAAAGACGUUCCCUAAUGAGUUGAGCGUCAAAGGGAUGGUAACAGGGCAGUCAGUGUAUGGAGAUGCCUUUGAAUUGUUCAAAACAAUAGAAUUUAUUACUUAUAUAAUUAAUAUUUUUCUUUCAGAGCAGGUUUUAAAAUCACAGUGACCCAGGACCAAAUGAGAGAGUGCCUAGGCAGGCGUGUGGGUCACUGGCGCAUGGUCAGCAAGCCCUCAAUCAGUAAUAGCAAACACAGAAGUAAUGCUGACCAUGGACUCGGUGUCGUUAUAAGCACUUAACAUGGGUUAUCUCAUUUAAUCUCCCAACAACUUAGUGAAGUUUUAUUAUCUUCAUCCUGCAAGAUAAAGUAACAGAAAUUAACUGACUGGCCCAUGAUCAUAUAAUGAAUAAGCAGUAGAGUCAGGAUUUGAACCAGAGCAUCGGACUCAAGUUCAAACUCUCUUCCACUACCUUCUGUGGAAUGUUAAACCAGUGUCUAUGACUGAUGAUUGCCCGUGGCACCCUGGAGAAAUUGAGCUUCUUUCAGCACUGGUAAAAAGGAGACUUUUUAAAGGUGGUAGCAGAUUCAAGUUGGCAUGCUUGUUCAGGGAAUACUCUCCCACUUGCCAGGGGACCUGGGCACCUGUUCCAGGUCUAAUUAGAGAGCAGGGUGGAGAACAAGACCAGAGACCAGGUGGCUUCCCCCAAGAAAACUAAUUAGGUUUUUAAAAGACAGAAAUAGGACCCAGGUGUCUUAACCUUUGCCACUGUAGGAACUUCUGUUCGAUCAAGUCCAUUAUAGUUUAGAAUAGUCCGUAGAUAAGGAGGUCUCAAGGAGUGGUCCGGAGACCCCGAUUCCUUUUAGAGUUUGCAGGGUCAAAACUGUUAUUUAUAAUACGAAGAUAUUAUUUGCCUUUCCCUCUC